rnacentral:ribozyme from 1 species
AUCUGCUCUGCUCUGCUUAAUGGAUGGGAUUCGAGACUCCUUUGAGGGUCCUAUAGACUCUCCUAACCAACUCCUAUUCCAUCACGUCCUCGUCGUGCAGAGUGGUAGCUUACCACACCACAUAUCCACGCUUUGGUACAUGCUUGGGAUGGUGGAGCAAGCCUGAAUGGGAGGAG